GCCGAUUUAGCUCAGUUGGUAGAGCACCCGCCUUGUAAGCGGAAGGUCGUCAGUUCGAUCCCGACAAUCGGCACCA
rnacentral:tRNA from 4 species